rnacentral:rRNA from 1 species
AGUGAACGCUGGCGGUAGGCCUAACACAUGCAAGUCGAACGGAAACACAGUAAGAGUUUGCCCUUACGGGUGGCGAGUGGCGGACGGGUGAGGAAUACAUCGGCAUCCACUUUUUCGUGGGGGAUAACGUAGGGAAACUGACGAUAAUACCGCAUACGACCUACGGGUGAAAGCAGGGGAUCAUCGCGCCUUUCGCGACUGAAUUAGCCGGUGCCGGAUUAGCUAGUUGGUGAGGUAAAGGCACACCAAGGCAACGAUGCGUAGCCGAGCUGAGAGGGUGAUCGGCCACACUGGAACUGAGACACGGUCCAGACUCCUACGGGAGGCAGCAGUAGGGAAUCUUCGGCAAUGGGCGAAAGCCUGAUGCAGCAACGCCGCGUGAGUGAUGAAGGUCUUCGGAUCGUAAAGCUCUGUUAUUGGGAAAGAACAACUGUGUAAGUAACUAUCCACGUCUUGACGGUACCCAAUCAGAAAGCAACGGCUAACUACGUG